rfam:Brachypodium distachyon strain Bd21 chromosome 2, whole genome shotgun sequence.
UGACUACUCCCUCCGUCCAACAAAUGAUGUCUAAAGUUUGUCUAAAUUUGAAUGUAUCUAGACACUCUAAAUUUGAAAGUAUCUAGACAUAACUUAGUGUAUAGAUGCAUUCAAAUUUAGUCAAAGUUGAGACAUCCUUUGUUGGACGGAGGAAGCAUGUA